UGUAAUUUUGGGGGGAGUGGGUUGUUCAACUCCACGCCUCCAGACUUGAGCUCCCCAGUAGACCCAAGUUACUGGCAGUUACUCUCUGAUUCAAAGGGCUAACUGGUCGUCCGAGCUGCAAUCCCAGAAAGAUGCGCCCGCUCUAUCCCUACUCCCGGACUCCACCAAUUGCUCACAGGCGUGCAAUUCCCAGGGACCAAUUAGAAGGGUGGGCAGUGCGUUCGCCUUUUAUAGAGCAGUGACCUAAGGAGCAGCUCAGACCAUGUCCAGUCGGCCCAUUAUGCGGACAGGACCAAACAAGAAGCAGGCUCAAUCAAUGAUCCUCCCUGCGGCUUCCGAUUCAGCAGCCGCAGAGCCGGCGCCCGGGGAUGGCGAGCCCAGCGCUCCUCCCCUCCUCCCGCUGACUCCCCCACCUCCUCCACGCCCUCCCCUUCGCGCGCCCGCCCUGCAGCGCCUGCCUGGAGCAUGCUGUCCCUGGGCACGGAAUCUGGGGUCUCCGUGCACCCCCAGCCGGGGCCCCAGCCGCCCACCUCCCCCUGAUCCCUGGGCCGCGCGACUUCAAAUUUAGCUUCCUCGCCUCCCAGACCUGUCCCUGUCACUGAGCAUGCCCAGUCCUGCCCGCCACCGCCACCGCCGAGUUUCAACAUGGGGAAUGAAGUUCUCUGGGUUUGUAAAGAAGAGAUGGGCGGAUUGGGCUUUGUAUGGCGAGCGAGCUAAAAGGGUACUGGGUGAGGUCGACGCGAGGGAUUCAGCAGCUUCAGGAGGAAUGUGGGAGGAAGCCAAAUAUUUGCAGAGGUUUCAGGUUUGCUAAUUCUGUCCCCAGUGGGCUAGAUACCUUUGCAAGGUCACUUAUGUUGCCACUACCCAACCCCCUGCCGCGCGUGAGUGUAUGUGUGUGUGUGUGUGUGUGUGUGCGCGCGCGCGCGCGAGCGCCUGCGUUAGGUGACCAAACUACUCAAAGGCCUGAGGAAAGAGAACGAUUAUUUAUAGAAAGGUAGGCAGACUUGGGGAGGAGUGAAAUUUCUUUGCUGGCAUACACAGACCAAUACCAUGUGGUCUCAUGGAGUUAGUUGUCUAGCAAGGAGGAAAACUAGGAAUACAGUCAGUGUAAGGACAGUGAAGGACAAAACUGGGUAGGAUUAACUGGUGCUGGAAGAGACCAAGAAAACAGAAGCAAUCCCAAGCUAUAAAAAGCGCUUUCCUCACCCAGAAAGGACCUGAAGAGACAAUGUCAUGUUAUUUAUAGAAUUAGGAGUUGUCUCUUGUUUUAAGAAGGUAAGGCACCAUUAAAGGGUCAUCAACACCAUGAGUUUUGGAGUCAGCCCUGGGUUCCAGUUCCAACUCAACCACUGAGCAAACCCAGAGAGACUCAUUGCUCAACACACCUGACAACAGGAAACUCAAGGGGGAAUGCUCAGUAGGCCAGACAAAUUUGGAUGGAGAGGAUCUUAUAAAAAUUAUGUAAUUCGAGGCCUUUGCUUUUGUAUUUGUAAUGUGGGACAUUUGUGGGGAGAUUUAUCUAAAAGUGCCUGGUUCAAUCUUGAAGCACAAUAAAUGCUCCAAAAACUGUUACAUAAAAAUUACAGGAGGUCAUUGUUGUAAAUUAACCUGAUGCAUAGACCAGGCUGAAUAUCAAAACUGUGUUAUUCAUGUUAAAGUUCCAGGUCACCAAGCUAGAGCUAAGCUGUUUAUCUGUCCUUCCUAGGAAUCUGGAUUAGAGAUAACAGUCAUAGGCCCAGGGUGUUUCUUUGUUGUUGUUGUUAUUGUUUUGUUUUGCAAUACUGGGGAUUGAACCCAAGACCUGGCACAUGCGAAGGAAGUGUUCUGCCACUGAGCUCCAUCCUCAGCCCAACAAGCCAGUUUUAAUUGGCAGUAAUGAAGUUCCCUCUGCCUUAACCCUUAUGCCAAAUAAGUAACCUCAUGUUGAUUUAUUAGUCAUUAUUAUAGUUUUUCUCUCUGUCCUCCUCUUAUAAGAAAAAUAACUGAAAGGAGCUAUUUACUUUAGUUUUUGUUUCUACUUUCUUCAAGCCCUCCUCUAUAGAACCAACUUCCUUUGCCCUGCCUGUUGGAACACUAUUCUACUUUAUGGAAUGAAGUGUUGCCCAAUUCUGGAAUUAAAAAUAAAUCAUCAAAUUGUUAUGGUUUUGUCCUUUGACAAUUUUUACCUUUGUUUUGCUUAUUUCAGCAAUUCACACUUCCUUUCAAGUGAGGGGAACAAAUUAUGCUCACAGCAAUAUUCAUUGUGUGUAAUAUUCUUUGUCAUUUGUACUUAAUCUACAGAGGGCAGUUCCUUCCAGCAGACCUAGAAUUGGAGAGUUACAACCAUUGGGAUACUACAGUGCUCUGAUCCAUCCUCUUGGUUUUUGCUUUCUUGUUUUUGCUUUCAAAUAAAAAAAAUCUCAACUCUC